rnacentral:rRNA from 1 species
GCUCCUACGGGAGGCAGCAGUGAGGAAUAUUGGUCAAUGGUCGGGAGACUGAACCAGCCAAGCCGCGUGAGGGAGGAAGGUACAGAGCAUCGUAAACCUCUUUUGUCAGGGAACAAAGGCGGGGACGUGUCCCCGGAUGAGUGUACCUGAAGAAAAAGCAUCGGCUAACUCCGUGCCAGCAGCCGCGGUAAUACGGAGGAUGCGAGCGUUGUCCGGAUUUAUUGGGUUUAAAGGGUUCGCAGGCGGUCUGUUAAGUC